rnacentral:pre_miRNA from 1 species
AGCUGGUUGAAUCCGGGUCAAAUUGUAAAUGCUAUUUGGUCCCCUUCAACCAGCUGU